UACGUAGGGGGCGAGCGUUGUCCGGAGUUACUGGGCGUAAAGCGCACGCAGGCGGUCUGCUAAGUUUGGAGUGACAGUUGGUGGCUUAACUGCCAAAGUGCUUCGAAAACUGACAGACUUGAGGGCUUCAGAGGGACACGGAAUUCCGGGUGGAGUGGUGAAAUGCGUAGAGAUCCGGAGGAACACCAAAGGCGAAGGCAGUGUCCUGGGGAGUACCUGACGCUCAGGUGCGAAAGCCAGGGGAGCGAACGGGAUAG
rnacentral:rRNA from 1 species